rnacentral:rRNA from 1 species
CCCUUAGAUGUUCUGGGCUGCACACGUGCUACACUGGCAGGUUCAGCGAGCUUCAUGCCCUGAUCUGAAAGGAAUGGGAAAUCUUUUCAAAACCUGCCGUGCUUGGGAUAGAUGUUUGCAAUUAUUCAUCUUCAACGAGGAUUGCCUUGUAAGCGCACGUCAUCAGCGUGCAUUGAAUACGACCCUGUAUUCUGUACUCACCGCCCGUCGCUCCUACCGAUUGAAGUUUUCGGUGAGUUGACAGGAGGAUUUUUUUGAAACUGGUUCGCCAGUGGAUUUUAGAUCCAAAUGCCAACGAAUCGAUGGCUUUAGAGGAAGGAGAAGUCGUAACA